AAUGAGAAUGGAGAAGGUCCAGGACACGUGGGUGGGGGAAGUUGAGCGCUGAGACCAAGGGCUAAAGCUGGGAGACUGAAAAAAUGCAGACCGCCGGGGCAUUAUUCAUUUCUCCAGCUCUGGUAAGGUGCCGCGCCGCGGUGCUCUGUAGUACCAGGUGUAUGGUGUGGACGCCAUCAGUGUUUAAUGAAUGAACCCAGGGGAGCUUGGCGUCCUGAUGAUGUAGGCUCUUUGAGGUGGCUGUAGGAUGUGAUGAAGGUAACCCCUGUUUAUCUGGGCCUGUGAACCAAGCUAUCUUGGCUUUGGAAUGUGGUCAGAGAUUCUGGAUUUGAUUUUUAUCCCCAGUCUGGCCUGGCCAUAGAGACAGCCCACUAAAACAGUGGUUUUCAACAGUGGCUGCACGUUAGAAUCAUCCAGGGAACUUUUUAUAAUCCUGAUGCCUAGGCUGCACCUUAGACCAUUUGCAUCAGACUUUGGGAAUGGGGGUGGAACCCAGGCAUCUGUAUCUUUUAGACUUCUCCAGAUGAUUCCACUGUGCAGCCAAGUUUGAGAACCACUGCACUAAAAAUUAUUUCAAAAAAGCCAUGUUACAGAUGGCUCUCCUUGGAUGGCUAUUCCAGUCGGUUUCCGGGGCUGACUGGCCCACUCCAUUUAGGGUGUGUAGCUGUGAGUGUAUUUUAGCAGAAUAAAAUUUCCCCCAUCUGAUUACUUGGUGAUCUGGGUAUAAACCUUUCCUGUACCUGCUUUGGUAUUAGUGUGGGUUCUUGUUCCAUUCUGGGAAGCUGAUUAAGGCUGUGCCCAAAGAAGUGAACUUUGGUUUGGUUUUGAAUGGUGAAGGUUGCCACUGCUGACUAUAUCAAGCUAUUGAGACAGCUGUCUCUGGGGCAGGCCUAUCUGAUAGGAACAGGAAUAAAUUGACCUUGAAAUACAUUGAACUUAUUCUGUUUAUGAAAUCUGUAGUCAUUUUUGACAGCUCAGCAAUUAGGAUUUUUUUUCCUUGACUGAUUUGGUAGGAUGUGGCUUUCUGAUUUUACAGAUCCGCUGUUGUACCAGGGGUCUAAUCAGGCCUGUGUCUGCCUCCUUCUUGAAUAGCCCAGUGAAUUCAUCUAAACAGGUAAGGGAGGAAUAGCUCUCUUAGGAAUGUUCCCAAGGCCCAGGGUGGUGGCUCACACCUGUAAUCCCAGCUCUUUGAGAGGCUGAGGCGAGAGGAUCACUUGAGCCCAGUUGUUCAAGACCAGCCUGGGCAACACAGUGAAACCCCAUCUCUACAAAAAAAAAAAAAAAAAAAAAAAAAUUAGCCAUGUGUGGUGGCAUGUGGCUGUAGUCCCAGUUACUCCAAGGCUGAGAUGAGAGGAUUGGUUAAUCCCAGAGGUCGAGACUGCUGUGACUAUGCCACUGCACUCCAGACUGGGUGACAGAGCAAGACCCUGACUCAUAAAAACCCAUUAAUUAAUUUUUUUUAAAUCAAGGAAUGUUCCCAGACAGGGGUCCUUCAGCUUAAGUUGCCUUUAGACCAAAGUGGGAGGAGAGUUGGAGAAUCUGUAUGCUUUAAUAGUUCUAAGUCCCCCAAGGUAAGCCUUGUAGGUAAGAAACUUAUAAAAGUGAGGUGUGCCUAACCCAUGAAAUUUCCCUAGUCCUGUCUGACAACAGACUCUAAGACUAAUUCCCAGCAUACUCUGCAAUCAGAGUAUUCUGCAUUUACCAGGCAGUUUGCCAACGGUGUCAGAGCUCAGGUGGGUGGGGUGAAGGAGGUAGAGUCAGCCACCUGUCCUUAUGCCAUACUAUCUCUCUGCUAUCUUGCCUGCCUUGCUUCUCUUUCUAGCCUUCCUACAGCAACUUCCCACUCCAGGUGGCCAGACGGGAGUUCCAGACCAGUGUUGUCUCCCGGGACAUUGACACAGCAGCCAAGUUUAUUGGUGCUGGGGCAGCCACAGUUGGUGUGGCUGGUUCAGGGGCUGGCAUUGGAACCGUGUUUGGCAGCUUGAUCAUUGGCUAUGCCAGGAACCCGUCUCUCAAGCAGCAGCUCUUCUCCUAUGCCAUUCUCGGCUUUGCCCUGUCUGAGGCCAUGGGGCUUUUCUGUUUGAUGGUCGCCUUCCUCAUCCUCUUCGCCAUGUGAGGCUCCAUGGGGGGUCACCGGCCUGUUGCUGCUGCAACUCCACACCAUUCUUGGUGCUGGGGUGUGCUAAGCUUUACCAUUAAACACAACGUUUCUCU
rnacentral:sRNA from 1 species